AUUGAACGCUGGCGGCAGGCUAACACAUGCAAGUCGAGCGGCAGCGACUUAACUGAACUUUCGGGGAACGUUAAGGGCGGCGAGCGGCGGACGGGUGAGUAAUGCCUGGGAAUAUGCCUGAUGUGGGGGAUAACUAUUGGAAACGAUAGCUAAUACCGCAUAAUCUCUUCGGAGCAAAGAGGGGGACCUUCGGGCCUCUCGCGUCAGGAUUAGCCCAGGUGGGAUUAGCUUGUUGGUGAGGUAAUGGCUCACCAAGGCAACGAUCCCUAGCUGGUCUGAGAGGAUGAUCAGCCACACUGGAACUGAGACACGGUCCAGACUCCUACGGGAGGCAGCAGUGGGGAAUAUUGCACAAUGGGGGAAACCCUGAUGCAGCCAUGCCGCGUGUGUGAAGAAGGCCUUCGGGUUGUAAAGCACUUUCAGUAGGGAGGAAGGUAGUGUAGUUAACACCUGCAUUAUUUGACGUUACCUACAGAAGAAGCACCGGCUAACUCCGUGCCAGCAGCCGCGGUAAUACGGAGGGUGCGAGCGUUAAUCGGAAUUACUGGGCGUAAAGCGCAUGCAGGCGGCCUGUUAAGUCAGAUGUGAAAGCCCGGGGCUUAACCUCGGAAUUGCAUUUGAAACUGGCAGGCUAGAGUCUUGUAGAGGGGGGUAGAAUUUCAGGUGUAGCGGUGAAAUGCGUAGAGAUCUGAAGGAAUACCAGUGGCGAAGGCGGCCCCCUGGACAAAGACUGACGCUCAGAUGCGAAAGCGUGGGGAGCAAACAGG
rnacentral:rRNA from 1 species